UGCUGUUCUUGUAGGGGUUAACGGCAUCGUAAGUGUUUGUUAAAAUGCUCAAGUGACCAAGCAGAGAGAGAAGGCUUUCGACCAUUGAGUUUUUCAUUACUAAUUGCCAUGUUGCUGAUCGUUACAGAUUUUUGAAUCAUUACAAAAAGGUGUUAAAUUGCAUAUUGUUAGAGGUGAGGUGAGGACUUAAGAAGCUAAUAUAUCUCAUCGAGGGUGACAAAAUUAUUCUGAAGCUGCUGAGAGCAUCAAAAUAGCGGUUUCAAAUCAAGCAAUUUCGAAUGAAGAAUGGGUGGGCAAGUGUACUCACAACGAUUUUCCCAAUAUCAUAGGAGGAGGGCACUGGCGCAUGAGAGGAGAUGCUUAGAAGGCAGAGCAAAGAUGUGAGAGUCCAAUUGCUAAUUCCCUCGUACCAGACAAGGAUUCAUAGGUCUUGAUUCUUGAAGCUUAUUUUUAAUGAAAGCCAAAGCAAUAAGCAAUUCUUUGGUUAUAGUGAAUGAGAGUGGCAGUUUACGUGUUGUAGAAAAAGUUUUUGAAUGUUAAUUAAAGUUCUGUAUAUUAGUCAAGACUUGGACUUUUUUCACAUUCUUUAAUGAAAUGGUCGGAAAAGACAUGUUGAUAACCCAA